UGGAUCUCAGAAACUGAGAUGACUUAAAAUAACAGAAGAAAAUAUUAACUGAAAGUCCAGAUUUUAAUUUCCAGCGAGAGUGGGAAGAAGAAGAAGAGAACAGAGUUCAUUCAUUUCAGAAGAGUCAGUAGUUAAGACAUCCAUCUGCUGUGAGAAGCCAGAUUCAUAUGCCUGCUCUGCCAUUUUCAUCUUUAUGUGAGUUGUUUGAAUGAAGGUCUUGGAACAGCCUGACCUGGUAUUUGAGAUCCUGCCUUGGACAGAAGAUGCCAGGCCAGCAAAGGAAGUUAGAAGCUGGUUACAUCUAAAAGGUACAAGCCAGUUAUGG
rnacentral:lncRNA from 1 species